UACGUAGGGUGCAAGCGUUGUCCGGAAUUAUUGGGCGUAAAGAGCUCGUAGGCGGUCUGUCGCGUCUGCUGUGAAAACUCAGGGCUUAACCCUGAGCUUGCAGUGGGUACGGGCAGACUAGAGUGUGGUAGGGGGAGACUGGAAUUCCUGGUGUAGCGGUGGAAUGCGCAGAUAUCAGGAGGAACACCAAUGGCGAAGGCAGGUCUCUGGGCCGACAACUGACGCU
rnacentral:rRNA from 1 species